ensembl:ncRNA C48D5.7 ncRNA
GAAAUGUGUAAAACGAGACUUCGAGUAAUAAAAACGCCGGGCGCGUUUUGAAUUGAUCAAGGGGCACCCUGUGUGUGUGUGUGUGGAGCACAAGCUGUUGGGAUG